rnacentral:lncRNA from 1 species
AUGAUUUCAGGGUUGUUCCCCCUGCCCUCCCCACACUGCUCUGGCUUUGGGGUUUCUGUCAGACGAGAGGCUCCCUUCCUCCGUGUUUAUCGAGGGCCUGCUAUGUGGAAGAGUUUUUUAGUUCCUCCACCGGGCCAUUUAUCCGUCUCUUGGGCUGUCCGUCUGUCCAUCCAUCCAUCCUCACCCACUUUGAAGUAUGUUGCUAGGUGCUGUGGAAGGAAAGUGCGUAAGACAGAGAAAGAACUCAUAUUUGUUGAGCAGCUCUGUGUUUCACGGCCACGGUUGAGAGCUUUUAUAUAUUCUUAUUUAAUUUUUGAUGCUGCUGCAUGAGAAAUUGCUCUGCUUGCUGAUGGAAACUUUCACCAGGUGUUUGUCCCAAGGUGCUAAUGGGUGAAUGUGAUCAAAGCUCUCUUAUCUGGCCUCCAGGGGGCCUGCUGGCCUUUGUGACUGCUGCUCUCUGUCCUGGGGGCCUCUGGGGGCUGGGAUUGCUCCCUCCCAGUGAGUGCUGUGCUUACUGGGCAGUUGUGUUUUUUUCCCUCCAAACUUGUUUUUGCCACUUGCUCUUGCUUUUUGUGAUUAUGUAAUUGAGCGAAGUAUUACGUAAACUGAUGAAAUCUGAGUGUGAAGAGAAGUUGUUUUUCUGAAAACUACAUUGUGUGUUUUGGAAGGACUUGAAAAGUAACUGUUAAAAAAAAAAUUUCCUGGGGUGCUUGGGUGGCUCAGUCAGUUAGGGGUCCGACUCUUGAUUGCAGCUUAGGUCAUGAUCUCGGGGUUGUGGGAUUGAGCUCAGCUCAGAGUCUGCUUGCUCCCCUCCAUCCAUUCCUCCCCUUGUUCUUUCUCUCUUUCUAAAAUAAAUAAAUGAAUCUUUAAAAAAAAAAAAAUUCCUGUCGUUUUAGGUGUGGUUAAGAUGCAUCAGUAUAAAUAAACAAGGGGCAUGGUGGUGGUUAAAAUCUAGGAGGAUUCUUCUCUUUACAAGUUAGCGAAACCCUCCUUGAAGGAAGUUGCCCUGAGACCUUGUGGGUGUGGUUUUUGCUGGAAAGACCAUAGAACUUCAGUCAGCAGAUCCAUCCUCAAAAGAAAAGACCUUGGGGGGGAAAAAAAAAAGACCUUGGCUGUUCAUCACAAGAUUGGGGAAUGAAUGUUUAAAGUCAAUUGUCUAAGGUGUGUAUAUUUCAUUUCUGAGUCCUUUCCUGCUCUGCCUUCUUAAAAUAAACAGCCAUCGCAUCAGACAGGAUAGUCUUUCGGCCAAACGGGAGUGACUGCCUUUCUCCGCCUCACCUCCCGUGGCUUGGUGGGAAAUGCGCCAGAGGGUGAAGAGUGGUGAGCGGGCUGGGAGCAAGAGAGCUGCGUCCUUCUCCCAGCUUCACCCACCUACCAGCUGGGAGACCCAAGGGAAACCACUCAGUUUCCUCAUCUGUAAAAUGGGAGGGUCCCGCCCUGGAGUUGGGGAGGGUCCAGCUGGUACACAGUGUGUGUGAAAGCACUUUCCCACAUGGUGGGUGCUCAUCAAAUGUCAGCUGACUAUGGUAGGCUCGUUAUACCGGUCUCUCUUUAUUAUGUUCCUCUUAUUCACUAAUACAAUUAGGAGUUAUGGGGAAAAGAAGUGCCCCCCAAAAUCCUACUCGAUGAGAAUUUGCAGAUUCCAAGUUUACAAACAUUUAGACUGUAACUUUUUUUUUUCUUUUUUUUAAGAUUUAUUUAUUCACGUUUGAGAGAGAGAGUGAGACUGCACUCACUAACGGGGAAAUGGGCAGAGGGAGAGAGAAUCCCAAGCAGACUCCCUCCUGAGCAUGGAGUCUGACACAGGGCUCGAUCCUGAGACCCUGAGAUCAUAAUCUGGGCUGAAAUAAGAAUCAGACACUGAGCCGACGGAUCCACCCGUGCGCCCCUACACCAUGAUGGUCUUCACACUGUGUAGAAAAGAAAUCCAGGAAGCAAGUCAGUACUCACGGCAAAGAUUGUCUGAUAGCAUGUGCUCAUACAGCACGGGGAGAAGCUUGUCGACACACUUUUGUUAGAAAUUUAUACCUUCAUUAAAGCAGGUGUUCUAGCCCUUCUGCCUACCAACACCUGUUUAACCUGCCUCAUUACCGUAGAUGCAUUUCAAAACCAGAAGUCCUUUUCUUGUUACACUGUAGAGUUCGUACUUGCCUUCAACCUUUUGAUGAAUUCAGAUUGGUUUUCUCUGUUCAUUAAAAUUCUUUCCCUUGUAGGGGCUGUUUCGGUAUUUCCAAAAUGAUAUUUAUCAUUCGUUUGCUUGUAACAUGAAAGUAAUAGUUCUGGUGGUGAAGAAGAUCAUUCUCCUCUUUCCCUUGCCCCUUCUUUUGUGGCCUCAAGGUCCUUGUCACCCGCCUGUGUCCUGACCGCAGUGGUAGGAAAUAGGUCUGUUAUGGGUGUUGAUCUAAAAACUCCUGGGUUAUUAAAAGGGAAGCAUGUGGGGGAUAUUUCCGCUUCAUGCUUGAGUGGUGGUAAUUAGCUCUGUGGCCUUUUCUGAUUCUCUGGGAGCUCGAGGAGAACAGAAGUGCUCUAAGGACCAGGUGUGUGCUGCUUUCUUCAUGGACCCUCCCAUUUCCUGACCGGGUCCCCCAGGGCUCGGGGCUCCGCCAGGAAAGGAACUUGGGAAGUGGAAUGUCUGUGUGUGAUCCCCUUUCCUGUUUCAGAUGGGACUCUUCUCAUUCCAGGCUUAUUUUUGGAUGAUUUGGACUUCCUCUGAAGCUCCACUCAGCAGCCUUACUAAAUUCUUAGGUGGGGCCCGUCAGGGGUAGCAGAUUUGAUCACAAACAUUUCUGUGUUUCCUCUUGACUCUCUCUUCUCCACUGAUUGAAGAAGAAGACCCUGAAAGCUGGGCAGCAGUGUUCAAGCUUUUUAAGCCUUUUGUAGUUUACGAAAUUUGAAAUUUCCUUGGCUUUGUACACAAUAAAAGAAUUUUGAUUAAUGUCUUGAUUUGAUCUAUUGUCAGAGACUGUUCUCCAUCUUACAUGGUAAUACCAUGACGGGAGUCUGGGACGUUUUCCCUAAAAAGAUACAGAAAUCAGAGUUUUAUGAGAAGGAGCAGACCCCAUAGGGAACGUUUCUCAGGUGAUUCCUAUUAUGUACAGUAAAAUUUGGGAAACUCUGUCCGCCUCCUAACUAGAAUUAAUCUCCCUCCUCCAAACUCCCCAGCCUGUUUCCCCUCGUCCAUUCGUCUAACGUGUGUGUAAGCCGCCUCUGAGAGCAGACGGCCUUUGAGGGCAGGUUCAGCCUGACUUGGUGUCCCGUUCCCACAGCUGUUUUCCCACGUGGCUUCAGCAAACGUUUGCAUAAAAUGAGAGAAUGAGCCAGUACAUCCAUCAGAAACGUCCCCAUGAAAACCAGCGCUGUAAUUUUUAGGGGCAGGUCACCCUUUGGCUGGAAGACUCCUCAGAAUAACGCGACUCUGGCUGAAGAGUCUGAGGCCCGCACAUGACACAUUAUUUGACACCGACGCUCCGUUCCUGCCAGGAUGUGCGUGGAGAUGGCCGACCACCUGCUUCCAGCAGGCCACAGCAUGAAACGGCAGCUGGGCCUCAGCUGGGGGUUUGCAAAUGUCCCGACCCCUCCCUCCUGCACUUCUGCAAGUGUUCAGCGCUCAGCUGCCCAUACCAAGCCCACCUACAGCCCGCCCACACAGAGCCCCAUGCUCUGUUUUCCGCUUCCCCUGGGAGAGGGGCCUUCCUGGAGCUGCACUCCCCCCCCCUUCCCAGAACCCAGCCUACAAGGCUCCUCCCCUGGACAUCUCUCCCUCCGGACUAGCUGUGGGUGACUUCAGAGUCCUCAUCCAAAACCUCCCUUGGUUCUGUUUCCUGCCCUGGUUACUGCCCCAUUUCCCUUUUCCACAAUAGACCCUCGGGUUGGACUGGGUGGAUAAGUAAGUUCAUUUUAAAAUCUAGCUGUCAGAAUGACCGUGUCCCAGGGGCUGCCCUGCGGAAAACUUUUGGGAGGCAGGCCCCCCAAGUUAAUAAUCUUUGUUACAUUGGCCUAGUAUUUGUGGUGUCUCAAAACAUGUUUGGUGGAAAAGAAGGAAAGGGAAAUCUGGCCGGAGCGCCGAUUACAUCCAGAUCCAGAACCUUCUCGGAGGCUGUGAGGCUGGGGGCUUAAAACCCCGGGGAGCCUGCUGAGGGAUCUGCUAACCUUUGUGUCUUUCAGCCUUAACGACUUAACUCAUUCAGAUACCUGGUGCAUGUAGCGGGGUGUUUUAUUUGGCCCGGGUGAGAAUAUUGAGACGAGGUAACGCUCCUCCUUAUUUUGUUUCGCAGCCGGACGGAAAGCGUGCUAACCCAUCUAAUAAAAUGGAAAUCGGGGAGUCAUAAAUUAAAGUUGGAUUCCACCUAAAAAUAGGGCAGUUGCGUCAGAGACCAUGGCUGCUCAGGACAUCCGUUCAGCUGCAAUGGUUGAGCCCGUGCUGUCCACCAGAUCUUGCAGUGCAGAGGGCGAAGACGAAACAGCCGCUGUUUCCUCAGGCAGCUUAGCUCGGCAGUUCGGAGAUAAGCAGGAAGCUGCUCUUCAGAGUAGCCGAGGGUGAUGAAGAUUGUCAG